UACGUAGGGUGCAAGCGUUAAUCGGAAUUACUGGGCGUAAAGCGUGCGCAGGCGGUGAUGUAAGACAGGUGUGAAAUCCCCGGGCUUAACCUGGGAACUGCAUUUGUGACUGCAUCGCUGGAGUGCGGCAGAGGGGGAUGGAAUUCCGCGUGUAGCAGUGAAAUGCGUAGAUAUGCGGAGGAACACCGAUGGCGAAGGCAGCCCCCUGGGUUAACACUGACGCUCAGGCACGAAAGCGUGGGGAGCAAACAGG
rnacentral:rRNA from 1 species